rnacentral:rRNA from 1 species
ACAAUCAAAUAACAUAUUGUUCGCCAAAUAACUACGAGUGAAAACUUAAAAUUUAAAAGACUUGACGGUACUUCACAACAACCUAGAGGAGCCUGUCCAAUAACCGAUACCCCACGAUUAACCCAACCCCGGCUAGCCUAACAGUCUAUAUACCGCCGUCGCCAGCUUACCUUAUGAAAGAAACAAAGUGAACCAAAUAGCCACACACUAACACGACAGGUCGAGGUGUAACUAAUGCCGAGGUAAAGAUGGGCUACAUUUUCUAACGCAGAAUAUACGAAUAAAGUGUGAAACCACAAACUGAAGGUGGAUUUAGCAGUAAGAUAGGAACAAAAUACCUAACCGAAACAAACGCAAUGAAGUGCGUACACACCGCCCGUCAUCCC